AUGGCCAAUCUGAGGACCAACCCUGUGAAGCAGCUGUCUCAUAGAGUCACGUUAUCACUGGAAAAACCAAGGGGACAUAUAUCUUCGAGAUCCUUUCCUCCUUCCUAUCACAUCAGGACGGGAUCCCUCACUCAGGUACCAGGUGCUGGGUUUUCUGUCAGCGCGGACCAGACUGCUCGCCGUCAGCGAAGGGCGUUCAUCAACGAGGAACCUCAGCCUCGGUUAGCCCGCACUGGGGGCCACCUGCCCGCUCCCCACGGCCUGCUUCCCUCCCAAAAGCGGCUGGCAGGAGCGGCCGCCCCCGCCGUAAGGCUCGUAGGGAGCCGCGGCGCACGGAGGAUGCUGUCGCCCUUCCUCCGGCGGCGCGCACAGGGCGGCACAGAGCGCCCGAGGGCUCCGCGUCUGCAGUCGGGCCACGUCCGCGGGGGGCUCAGAGCACGCGGUGGGCGGCGGGGGACGGGUCCGGCGGCGGGGCCUCACUGCGGCAGCGCCGGCUUCCCCUCGGCUGCCGCUUUCAUUCAUGUUUUCUCCUUCGCCAUCUCCCUCUCUCUCCGAGCGAGUGGAAACAAGAAUGCGCGUGGGCGGCCGCCGAGCGGCGCGCUGUCAGUCAGCCGCCGCGCUGCAAAGAAGGAGAGCGAGGGAGAAGGAGGGGAGCAGCUUUCCCCGGGUAGGGGAAGCUCUGUCGGCGCUGCCUCUGCCCGCCGGCAUCGCGGCUCUUCCCGGGGGCGUCCGCGGAGCCGCCCGGCUCGGAAGGAGGGGGGGGGGGGACACGAGGGGCGGCCCCUCUCCCGCUAUCGGCACCUGCUCCCCCCGCCCCUGUCUGGCGGAGGGGUCUGCGCCGCCGGCGGCGCGCGCGUGUGUACGUGUGUCUGUGUGUCUGUGGCUGCCGGGGGCGCCGCUGGGAGGAGAGGAGGCGCGAGGCAAGUUGUAACGGCUUCGGCGCCCAUAGAGGCUCCGGGCGGGCGCGGAUGCGGUGCGGGUGCGGUGCGGUGCGCUGAGAGCUCCGCGAGGCGGGGUGGACCAGCGACCCCGCCCCGCUGCAGCGAGAGGCUCCGUCUUUGUGCAUCCUCCGCACCUGAGGUGCGAGGCCGGGAGGGGCGGCGGAGCCGGGGAGGGGAGGUAAGACCGCGCCGCGCUUCUCCUUCGGCCGCUUCCCAUCUCGUCCGGCUGCGCGGGCGGAGGUGCGGCAGCCCGGCCCCACGGGGAAGGAUGGGACGCGGAGGUGUGGAGCUUCGCCGCAGCCGGAGGGCGAGCGGCGGCCCCACUGAUGGGCGGGGGGCUGCGGGCGGGGGAGGGGCCCGCCGAGCGCCUUCAUCUGGGCUCCCCCGGGAAGGAGCGGGCGGUUCGGAGAGGCUGCUCUAG
rnacentral:lncRNA from 1 species